GCCUUCGUGGUGUAGUGGUCAGCACGCUCGACGCGUAACCGAGAGGUCCGUGGUUCGAUUCCCGGCGACGGCG
rnacentral:tRNA from 1 species